CGGAGGCGGAGCUACCUGGGAUACCACACCUCCCCUCUCGGGGCUGAGCUGGCCCGGUUACAUUUACCCGUUGAGAAAGAGAAAUGGAGAGAAACAUUUGUUAAAGAUCAUCUCACGGUACCUGGAUAAUGGGGUUUUUGAAGAUGAUGGGAUGCUAUCCAUUUGUUCAGACUUCGAAGCAGCACAAGUUCUCUCCUCCUUAUCAGACACACUCCUCUCAUCCUGAGGUCAACACUGCCUUCUUCUGUACAACUACUUUCAACAUUAUUCACUUCACACAGUGAGGUAAUGCCAGCUUCUGAUAAAGGCAAAUCUGAAG